GACGAACGCUGGCGGCGUGCCUAAUACAUGCAAGUUGAGCGCUGAAGGUUGGUACUUGUACCAACUGGAUGAGCAGCGAACGGGUGAGUAACGCGUGGGGAAUCUGCCUUUGAGCGGGGGACAACAUUUGGAAACGAAUGCUAAUACCGCAUAAAAACUUUAAACACAAGUUUUAAGUUUGAAAGAUGCAAUUGCAUCACUCAAAGAUGAUCCCGCGUUGUAUUAGCUAGUUGGUGAGGUAAAGGCUCACCAAGGCGAUGAUACAUAGCCGACCUGAGAGGGUGAUCGGCCACAUUGGGACUGAGACACGGCCCAAACUCCUACGGGAGGCAGCAGUAGGGAAUCUUCGGCAAUGGACGAAAGUCUGACCGAGCAACGCCGCGGGAGUGAAGAAGGUUUUAGGAUCGUAAAACUCUGUUGGUAGAGAAGAACGUUGGUGAGAGUGGAAAGCUCAUCAAGUGACGGUAACUACCCAGAAAGGGACGGCUAACUACGUG
rnacentral:rRNA from 1 species